rnacentral:sRNA from 2 species
ACAAAUUCUAGUUCCAUCAUCAUAUUGUGCAAUCACAUUGCUUCAUGUACUGCUUCACUGAGUGCCAUGUAUUCUGCCUCAUUUGAACUUAAAGAAACACAAGGUUGUUUGAAUGAACAUCAUGAAAUUGAUGCAUCUGCUAACUUGAAUAUGAAGUCUAAGAUAGAUUUGCAUUCAUCAUUCAACAGUUCUGCUCAAUCUGAAUCUGUAUAAUCUAUUGACAGAUAUGAUGUGUUGGGGAAUUCAUUGAUCUUGUUCUUGGGGCCUUUGUAUAAGAUGCCUAGGUUGCUUGUUUCUUUUAGAUAUUGUAU